AUAUCCCUGACUUGAACUUGCCACAAGCCAAAAUUGAUUCUUCCAUCAAAUUUCUCAAUAUCAAAUUUGAUGCUUCCCAUUGUAACCGUAUCGCUCACCAAUAUCCGUGGAUGAAAAACACUUGCUUAGAACCUCGUCUAUAGCUCGUGAACACCAGGUAAGUUCCCAGGAAAGAGAGGUAGGUCCGGCGUGACCACUUAAUUACCAAGUCUUUCCUAGCCAGAGCUUACCUAGACAUGUACCUCCACACAUGAUUCUAACCGCCAGAAUUCACCACAAGCCUCGAUACUCCAAUUGCACCAACUUCCCCUCCUAAAAGCUUCUUGAACCAGAAAAUCUUUUCUGAUGUGGAAGAUCAGCCAAAGCUGCGGCCACAGAGCAUACUAAGAUUCCCCCCUCAAGCUAGGCGAGCUCGCUCUGAUACCACUUGUUGGGAAAAAAGAAAUAGAUUGACCCUUUCCCGUAAACCCCGAGAUCUCCGCCCCUUUUGUAAAGAGAAAAAAUGAGAAAUNNN
rnacentral:lncRNA from 1 species